UAUGAGAGUCCACCGAUUGUCCAGCUAGUUUUCAUCGGGGCAUCGGGGAUCAUCACGCUUGACUGCACCAUCGUUUCAAGUUAGCUAAGCGCGCAGCGGCUAACUCUCGCAGAGUAGAAGAUAAGGGAGGAACUCGGGCGAAGAAUCCCGAGGUUCUACGACAACAUGACUGCGGAGAUGCUGCAGUGGAUGCUGCGGAUGCCAAGGGUUUCCUUGAGUGCGAAAAGGAGAAAGAAGAAUGGUGGGGAAAUGAGAAGGCAUCGGACGACUUAAUUACGACCGCCGCAUUAUAUCCACCGUGAUUUAUUUCAACUCCGCCAUUCAUACUUACAACGCGAGCAUUAUCAGGUACCAAGAG
rnacentral:lncRNA from 1 species